rnacentral:rRNA from 1 species
GAUCCUGGCUCAGGAUGAACGCUAGCUACAGGCUUAACACAUGCAAGUCGAGGGGCAGCAUGGUCUUAGCUUGCUAAGACUGAUGGCGACCGGCGCACGGGUGAGUAACACGUAUCCAACCUGCCGAUAACUCGGGGAUAGCCUUUCGAAAGAAAGAUUAAUACCCGAUGGUAUAAUCAGACCGCAUGGUCUUGUUAUUAAAGAAUUUCGGUUAUCGAUGGGGAUGCGUUCCAUUAGGCAG